UACGGGAGGCAGCAGUGGGGAAUAUUGCACAAUGGGCGCAAGCCUGAUGCAGCCAUGCCGCGUGUAUGAAGAAGGCCUUCGGGUUGUAAAGUACUUUCAGUCGUGAGGAAGGUGUUAAGGUUAAUAACCUUAGCAAUUGACGUUAGAGACAGAAGAAGCACCGGCUAACUCCGUGCCAGCAGCCGCGGUAAUACGGAGGGUGCGAGCGUUAAUCGGAAUUACUGGGCGUAAAGGGCACGCAGGCGGUUAAUUAAGUUGGAUGUGAAAUCCCCGGGCUUAACCUGGGAAUGGCAUUCAAGACUGGUUAGCUAGAGUCUUGUAGAGGGGGUAGAAUUCCAUGUGUAGCGGUGAAAUGCGUAGAGAUGUGGAGGAAUACCGGUGGCGAAGGCGGCCCCUGGACAAAGACUGACGCUCAUGUGCGAAAGCGUGGGGAGCAAAC
rnacentral:rRNA from 1 species